rnacentral:rRNA from 1 species
CAGUAGCCGCGGGAAUACGGAGGGAGCUAGCGUUGUUCGGAAUUGCUGGGCGUAAAGCGCACGUAGGCGGUUAUUCAAGUCAGAGGUGAAAGCCCGGGGCUCAACCCCGGAACUGCCUUUGAAACUAGAUGACUGGAAUCUUGGAGAGGUCAGUGGAAUUCCGAGUGUAGAGGUGGAACUCGUAGAUAUUCGGAAGAACACCAGUGGCGAAGGCGACUGACUGGACAAGUAUUGACGCUGAGGUGCGAAAGCGUGGGGAGCAAACAGGAUUAGAUACCCCCGUAGUCCCUGUCUCUUAUAC